UCGAGUGAAUCGUGGUUAAGGAACUCGGCAAAAUGCCCCCGUAACUUCGGGAGAAGGGGGGCUCGGACCGUGACACGCCCUAGCGGUGUCGAGCGGGUAAGGGCCGCAGAGACCAGGGAGAAGCGACUGUUUACUAAAAACACAGGUCCGUGCGAAGUCGCAAGACGAUGUAUACGGACUGACGCCUCCCCGGUGCUGGAAGGUUAAGAGGACCGGUCAGCCGCCCCUUGCGGGUGGCGAAGCUGAGAAUUUAAGCCCCAGUAAACGGCGGUGGUAACUAUAACCAUCCUAAGGUAGCGAAAUUCCUUGUCGGGUAAGUUCCGACCUGCACGAAUGGCGUAACGACUUCUCCGCUGUCUCAACCGCGAACUCGGCGAAAUUGCAUUACGAGUAAAGAUGCUCGUUACGCGCAGCAGGACGGAAAGACCCCGGGACCUUUACUAUAGCUUGGUAUCGGUGUCCGGAGCGGCUUGUGUAUAGGUGGGAGACUUUGAAGCAGCCACGCCAGUGGUUGUGGAGUCGUCCUUGAAAUACCACUCUGGUCGCUUUGGGCAUCUAACUUCGGACCCUGAUCGGGUCCAGGGACAGUGCCUGGUGGGUAGUUUAACUGGGGCGGUUGCCUCCUAAAAUGUAACGGAGGCGCCCAAAGGUUCCCUCAGCCUGGUUGGCAAUCAGGUGUUGAGUGUAAGUGCACAAGGGAGCUUGACUGUGAGACCGACAGGUCGAACAGGGACGAAAGUCGGGACUAGUGAUCCGGCGGUGGCUUGUGGAAGCGCCGUCGCUCAUCGGAUAAAGGGUACCCCGGGGAUAACAGGCUGAUCUUGCCCAAGAGUCCAUAUCGACGGCAUGGUUUGGCACCUCGAUGUCGGCUCGUCGCAUCCUGGGGCUGGAGUCGGUCCCAAGGGUUGGGCUGUUCGCCCAUUAAAGCGGCACGCGAGCUGGGUUUAGAACGUCGUGAGACAGUUCGGUCCCUAUCCGCUGCGCGCGCAGGAAACUUGAGAAGUGCUGUCCUUAGUACGAGAGGACCGGGACGGACUGACCUCUGGUGUGCCAGUUGUUCCGCCAGGAGCACUGCUGGUUAGCUACGUCGGGAAGGGAUAACCGCUGAAAGCAUCUAAGCGGGAAGCCCACCUCAAGAUGAGGUUUCCACCACCCAACAGGGUGGGAAGGCCCCCAGCAGAACACUGGGUUGAUAGGCCGGAAGUGGAAGCAGGGACCAAAAGACCUGUGGAGCUGACCGGUACUAAUAGGCCAACCACUUAACCCG
rnacentral:rRNA from 1 species